rnacentral:pre_miRNA from 1 species
AGUGCAGUUGCUGGGUCAUAUGGUAAGGCCAUUUUUGAAAUAACUUCCAAAGUAUUUUCCAGAGUGGUUGUACCAUUUUACAUUCUUAUUAGCAAU